rnacentral:sRNA from 1 species
UCUGCUUUUCUUUUCUGUUCUUUUGCCCUACUCUAC